AUUGAACGCUGGCGGCAUGCCUUACACAUGCAAAUCGAACGGUAACGGGCCUUCGGGUGCCGACGAGUGGCGAACGGGUGAGUAAUACAUCGGAACGUGCCCGAUCGUGGGGGAUAACGAGGCGAAAGCUUUGCUAAUACCGCAUACGAUCUACGGAUGAAAGCAGGGGACCGCAAGGCCUUGCGCGGACGGAGCGGCCGAUGGCAGAUUAGGUAGUUGGUGGGAUAAAAGCUUACCAAGCCGACGAUCUGUAGCUGGUCUGAGAGGAUGAUCAGCCACACUGGGACUGAGACACGGCCCAGACUCCUACGGGAGGCAGCAGUGGGGAAUUUUGGACAAUGGGCGCAAGCCUGAUCCAGCCAUGCCGCGUGCAGGAUGAAGGCCUUCGGGUUGUAAAAUGAUUUUGUACGGAACGAAAAGCCUUCUUAGAAUACAGGAGGGUCAUGACGGUACCGGAAGAAUAAGCACCGGCUAACUACGUG
rnacentral:rRNA from 1 species